UUUCUGGACCCAGAACACCAGCCUGUUCCAAGGCCCUUCUGUUGGAAAGCUUAUGCCUCCAAGGUCUGGAAUACUUGAGUUUCUCCGGAAAGAAUGAGCAGAAACAGAUCAGCAGCACCCUUUGGAAUGAAAAUCUCUCUGGGUCAGAGCAUGCGGCAUUCUACAAGAACACCUAUUAAGUUCCCUGAAAAAGAAAGCUGCACAUCUGUAAUCCUGG